rnacentral:rRNA from 1 species
GACGAACGCUGGCGGCGUGCUUAACACAUGCAAGUCGUACGGUCAGGCCCUUUUGGGGGUCCACGAGUGGCGUACGGGGGAGUAACAUGUGCGUAAGCUGCCCACAACUCUGGGAUAACGCUAGUAAACUGGUGCUAAUACUGGUUAUGUACUCCUGCUUCAUGGAGGGGGUUGGAAAGCCCCGGCGGCUGUGGGUGGACGCGCGGCCUAUCAGCUUGUUGGUGGGGUAGUGGCCUACCAAGGCGGCGACGGGUAGCCGGCCUGAGAGGGUGACCGGCCACAUUGGGACUGAGAUGCGGCCCAGACUCCUACGGGAGGCAGCAGUGGGGAAUAUUGCACAAUGGGCGCAAGCCUGAUGCAGCAACGCCGCGUGCGGGAUGACGGCCUUCGGGUUGUAAACCGCUUUCAGCAGGGACGAAGCUUUUUGUGACGGUACCUGCAGAAGAAGCACCGGCUAACUACGUG